GGGGAUGUGGCUCAGUGGUUGGGUGGCUCGCCAGGCAUGCGUGUGGCCUGGGUUUGAUCCUCAGCACCACA
rnacentral:tRNA from 1 species